rnacentral:rRNA from 1 species
UACGUAGGGGGGCUAGCGUUGUCCGGAAUCAUUGGGCGUAAAGAGCGUGUAGGCGGCCCGGUAAGUCCGCUGUGAAAGUCGGGGGCUCAACCCUCGAAUGCCGGUGGAUACUGUCGGGCUAGAGUGCGGAAGAGGCGAGUGGAAUUCCUGGGUGUAGCGGUGAAAUGCGCAGAUAUCAGGAGGAACACCGAUUGCGAAGGCAGCUCGCUGGGACGUCACUGACGCUGAGACGCGAAAGCGUGGGGAGCAAACAGG